rnacentral:rRNA from 1 species
GACGAACGCUGGCGGCGUGCUAAUACAUGCAAGUAGGACGCACAGUUUAUACCGUAGCUUGCUACACCAUAGACUGUGAGUUGCGAACGGGUGAGUAACGCGUAGGUAACCUGCCUAUUAGAGGGGGAUAACUAUUGGAAACGAUAGCUAAUACCGCAUAACAGUAUGUAACACAUGUUAGAUGCUUGAAAGAUGCAAUUGCAUCGCUAGUAGAUGGACCUGCGUUGUAUUAGCUAGUAGGUAGGGUAAUGGCCUACCUAGGCGACGAUACAUAGCCGACCUGAGAGGGUGAUCGGCCACACUGGGACUGAGACACGGCCCAGACUCCUACGGGAGGCAGCAGUAGGGAAUCUUCGGCAAUGGGGGGAACCCUGACCGAGCAACGCCGCGUGAGUGAAGAAGGUUUUCGGAUCGUAAAAGCU